rnacentral:ncRNA from 2 species
GAUGGAUUAGAUGGCGAACGGGUGAGUAACACGCUGAGUAACCUGCCCUUAACUCUGGGAUAAGCCUGGGAAACUGGGUCUAAUACCGGAUAGGAGCGUCCACCGCAUGGUGGGUGUUGGAAAGAUUUAUCGGUUUUGGAUGGACUCGCGGCCUAUCAGCUUGUUGGUGAGGUAAUGGCUCACCAAGGCGACGACGGGUAGCCGGCCUGAGAGGGUGACCGGCCACACUGGGACUGAGACACGGCCCAGACUCCUACGGGAGGCAGCAGUGGGGAAUAUUGCACAAUGGGCGAAAGCCUGAUGCAGCGACGCCGCGUGAGGGAUGACGGCCUUCGGGUUGUAAACCUCUUUCAGUAGGGAAGAAGCGAAAGUGACGGUACCUGCAGAAGAAGCACCGGCUAACUACGUGCCAGCAGCCGCGGUAAUACGUAGGGUGCGAGCGUUAUCCGGAAUUAUUGGGCGUAAAGAGCUCGUAGGCGGUUUGUCGCGUCUGUCGUGAAAGUCCGGGGCUUAACCCCGGAUCUGCGGUGGGUACGGGCAGACUAGAGUGCAGUAGGGGAGACUGGAAUUCCUGGUGUAGCGGUGGAAUGCGCAGAUAUCAGGAGGAACACCGAUGGCGAAGGCAGGUCUCUGGGCUGUAACUGACGCUGAGGAGCGAAA